rnacentral:rRNA from 1 species
ACUCCUACGGGAGGCAGCAGUGGGGAAUCUUGGACAAUGGGCGCAAGCCUGAUCCAGCCAUGCCGCGUGAGUGAUGAAGGCCUUAGGGUCGUAAAGCUCUUUCGCCUGUGAAGAUAAUGACUGUAGCAGGUAAAGAAACCCCGGCUAACUCCGUGCCAGCAGCCGCGGUAAUACGGAGGGGUUAGCGUUGUUCGGAAUUACUGGGCGUAAAGCGCGCGUAGGCUGACUAUUAAGUCAGGGGUGAAAUCCCGGGGCUCAACCCCGGAACGGCCCUUGAUACUGGUAGUCUUGAGUUCGAGAGAGGUGAGUGGAAUUCCGAGUGUAGAGGUGAAAUUCGUAGAUAUUCGGAGGAACACCAGUGGCGAAGGCGGCUCACUGGCUCGAUACUGACGCUGAGGUGCGAAAGUGUGGGGAGCAAACAGGAUUAGAUACCCUGGUAGCGACUGA